rnacentral:rRNA from 1 species
AGCUCCAAUAGCGUAUAUUAAAGUUGUUGCGGUUAAAAAGCUCGUAGUUGGAUUUCGGCGAUCAGGGGCCGGUGAUAUAUUUGUAUCUACUGGCCCAUUUGGUCGUAUUUUUGAAAGAGGGUUUGGGGUCCCCUUCACUGGGUGUCCUAGGUCGCUUUCAGGUUUACUUUGAAAAAAUUAGAGUGCUCAAAGCAGGCUUUAACGCUUGAAUAUUCGUGCAUGGAAUAAUAGAAUAGGAAGUUCGUUUCUAUUUUGUUGGUUUUAGGAUAACGACUUAAUGAUUAAUAGGGACAAUCGGGGGAAUUAGUAUUCAAACGACAGAGGUGAAAUUCUUGGACCGUUUGAAGACUAACUACUGCGAAAGCAUUUUCCAAGAGUGUUUUCAUUAAUCAAGAACGAA